rnacentral:sRNA from 1 species
AGGAGAGGCAGGCAAACAGCUGAGGCGGUAGGCUUAGGGCCAGAGCCAGGGGAGGGCAGGGUGGUGUAUGGCAACUAACCAGUCAUUCUCCCUCUUCCUCUCAGGCGGGCAGGGCUGGGCAGCGGCCUGAGUCUCAGUGGACUUGUCCACCCAGAGUUGAGUCGGAGCGGCGAGCUGGCAGUACAGGCUCUGGAGCAGUUUGCCACUGUGGUGGAGGCCAAGCUGAUAAAACACAAGAAGGGGAUUGUCAAUGAACAGUUUCUGCUGCAGCGGCUGGCAGACGGGGCCAUCGACCUCUAUGCCAUGGUGGUGGUUCUCUCGAGGGCCUCAAGAUCCCUGAGUGAGGGCCACCCCACGGCCCAGCAUGAGAAAAUGCUCUGUGACACCUGGUGUAUCGAGGUGAGACUCGGGGCUGCCAAGCUCAGGUGAGGGCUAGAGGUGCAGGCCCAACCCCUCCUUCCCUCUCCCCAGGCUGCAGCUCGGAUCCGAGAGGGCAUGGCCGCCCUGCAGUCUGACCCCUGGCAGCAAGAGCUCUACCGCAACUUCAAAAGCAUCUCCAAGGCCUUGGUGGAGCGGGGUGGUGUGGUCACCAGCAACCCACUUGGCUUCUGAAUACUCCCGGCCAGGGCCUGUCCCAGUUAUGUGCCUUCCCUCAAGCCAAAGCCGAAGCCCCUUUCCUUAAGGCCCUGGUUUGUCCCGAAGGGGCCUAGUGUUCCCAGCACUGUGCCUGCUCUCAAGAGCACUUACUGCCUCGCAAAUAAUAAAAAUUUCUAACCAGUCA